AAUUUAAAUAAUGUAGAGACGUGAGGCUUCUAGAUCACCCCAAAAAGGACGACGUAAUUUUGAGAGACCAGGUCUUACUGAAGAUGAAAUCGAAGAAAUCAGAGAGGCAUUUAAUCUCUUUGACACAGAUGGCUCAGGAACUAUUGACCCUAAAUAAUUACGUGCUGCUAUGUAGUCGUUAGGAUUCGAAAAUAAAAACCCGACAAUUUAUAAAAUGAUUGCCGAUUUAGAUGUUGAAGAUAAUAUGGGAGGUAUCAAUUUCGACCAAUUUCUUGAUGCAAUCACAGCAAAGCUCGGAAACAAAGACACAAGAGAAGGCAUCAUGAGGAUUUUCGCACUCUUUGAUUAUGAUUAGACUGGAACAAUCACUGUCCAUGAUUUGAGAAGAGUCGCGAGAUAACUUGGCUAAACUAUGAGUGUUGAAGAGCUCAAAGAUAUGUUAGAGAGA